rnacentral:piRNA from 1 species
UGGACAUAUUCAGAGACCCUUCCCAAAGA